rnacentral:rRNA from 1 species
GACGAACGCUGGCGGCGUGCUUAACACAUGCAAGUCGAACGGACAGACAGAGAGCUUGCUCUCUUGAAGUUAGUGGCGAACGGGUGAGUAACGCGUAAUCAACCUGCCCUCAGAGGGGGAUAACAACGGGAAACCGUUGCUAAUACCGCGUACGAUUCAUGAACGGCAUCGUUUAUGAAUGAAAGGUGGCCUCUAUGUAUAAGCUAUCGCUGAAGGAGGGGAUUGCGUCUGAUUAGCUAGUUGGAGGGGUAACGGCCCACCAAGGCAAUGAUCAGUAGCCGGUCUGAGAGGAUGAACGGCCACAUUGGGACUGAGACACGGCCCAAACUCCUACGGGAGGCAGCAGUGGGGAAUCUUCCGCAAUGGACGAAAGUCUGACGGAGCAGCGCCGCGUGAGCGAUGAAGGUCUUCGGAUUGUAAAGCUCUGUUAAUCGGGACGAAAGAGUUCUGCGUGAAUAAUGCAGAAAAGUGACGGUACCGGAAUAGAAAGCCACGGCUAACUACGUGCCAGCAGCCGCCGUAA